GUCUUCGUGGUGUAGUGGUCAGCACACUCGACGCGUAUUCGAAAGAUCCAUGGUUCGAGUCCCGGCAAGGGCA
rfam:Stegodyphus mimosarum contig41164, whole genome shotgun sequence.